GGUCAAGCAAAAAAGAGCGCAGGGUGGAUGCCUUGGCACUAAGAGCCGAAGAAAGACGUGAUAAGCUGCGAAAAGCCGUGGGGAGCUGCACAUAAGCUGUGAUCCACGGAUUU
rnacentral:ncRNA from 1 species